AACGAACGCUGGCGGCAUGCCUAACACAUGCAAGUCGAACGAGACCUUCGGGUCUAGUGGCGCACGGGUGCGUAACGCGUGGGAACCUGCCCUUAGGUUCGGAAUAACUCCCCGAAAGGGGUGCUAAUACCGGAUAAUGUCUUCGGACCAAAGAUUUAUCGCCUUUGGAUGGGCCCGCGUUGGAUUAGCUAGUUGGUAGGGUAAAAGCCUACCAAGGCGACGAUCCAUAGCUGGUCUGAGAGGAUGAUCAGCCACACUGGGACUGAGACACGGCCCAGACUCCUACGGGAAGCAGCAGUGGGGAAUAUUGGACAAUGGGCGAAAGCCUGAUCCAGCAAUGCCGCGUGAGUGAUGAAGGCCUUAGGGUUGUAAAGCUCUUUUACCCGGGAUGAUAAUGACAGUACCGGGAGAAUAAGCUCCGGCUAACUCGGUG
rnacentral:rRNA from 1 species